rnacentral:rRNA from 1 species
UACGUAGGGUCCGAGCGUUGUCCGGAAUUACUGGGCGUAAAGAGCUCGUAGGUGGUUUGUCGCGUUGUUCGUGAAAACUCACAGCUCAACUGUGGGCGUGCGGGCGAUACUGGCAGACUUGAGUACUGCAGGGGAGACUGGAAUUCCUGGUGUAGCGGUGGAAUGCGCAGAUAUCAGGAGGAACACCGGUGGCGAAGGCGGGUCUCUGGGCAGUAACUGACGCUGAGGAGCGAAAGCGUGGGGAGCGAACAGG